rnacentral:rRNA from 1 species
GACGAACGCUGGCGGCGUGCUUAACACAUGCAAGUCGAACGGAAAGGCCCUGCUUUUGUGGGGUGCUCGAGUGGCGAACGGGUGAGUAACACGUGAGUAACCUGCCCUUGACUUUGGGAUAACUUCAGGAAACUGGGGCUAAUACCGGAUAGGAGCUCCUGCUGCAUGGUGGGGGUUGGAAAGUUUCGGCGGUUGGGGAUGGACUCGCGGCUUAUCAGCUUGUUUGUGGGGUAGUGGCUUACCAAGGCUUUGACGGGUAGCCGGCCUGAGAGGGUGAACGGCCACAUUGGGACUGAGAUACGGCCCAGACUCCUACGGGAGGCAGCAGUGGGGAAUAUUGCACAAUGGGCGGAAGCCUGAUGCAGCAACGCCGCGUGCGGGAUGACGGCCUUCGGGUUGUAAACCGCUUUCGCCUGUGACGAAGCGUGAGUGACGGCAAUGGGUAAAGAAGCACCGGCUAACUACGUG